rnacentral:lncRNA from 1 species
CCCCAGUGGCUUUUCCAGAACUGCUACCUUCUCCGUGAAGCUCCAUGAGUUUUCCCAAUUCAAACUUGGGCUUCUUCAGCAUCUUCACUUUUCUAACGAAGACAUCAUGCAGAGGAUAAAUAGACUGGCAAGCCUUCUCUAUGUCUUUCCCAAUGCUGUCUGGGAUCAAUUUAUUGACUACUUCUUUCAAGUCAUUUGUUUGCACCUCCCGUGUCAUGAUUUCCAUCAUCUUCUUCCGGAUCUGGCGGACCUGCUGGUGCUGAGCAUAGGAAGUCUUCCGUAUCUGAUUGUUGCGUUUUUUGGUAAAACCAACACAGAACAGACGAAGCAAAUAGCCAUCGGUAGUCUUGACAUCAACAUGAGCUUCAAUCAUGGUCUGCCAUUUUUUGACCAUGGAGCACAUUUUGUCACAACAUCCUCCGUAAUCAGUUUGAAUUUUCUAAAUGCAACUUCAUUGUUCUGCAGGUCAGCAAGACUCACUUCAAAAACACGACCCUUGAGUCCAUCAGACACAAUUUUGGUUCCUUGGGUCCUCGUGACCAGUGUUUUCCCAAUAUUUCGUAUGUUGAACAUAGCAGGUGCCUUCACAUCAUACCAAUCUUUCUUAGAAAAUGGGUCCACCACUUUCUUCUUGGCUCCCUUUUUGCCGCCUUUCGUAAGGUGCUUGUUCUUGCCGACCGCCAUGGUGGUGCUCAGAGAGCCAAAAGGGCGCAUUAGUACUAUUAUGCAUUAUUGCCAUUAGUUUUUAAAAGGUUUAUUUAUUUAUUUAUCUGAAAAGCAGAGUUACAGAGAGAUGGGAAAGACACACACACAAACACACACAGUGAGCUUCAUCUGGGUUUCCCACAUGGGUGAUGGGGUCCAAGUACUUGGGCCAUCCUCUGUUGAUUUUUCCAGGCACAUUAGCAGGGAACUGGAUGGGAAAUGGAGCAGCUGGGACAUGAACUGGUGCCCAUAGGGAUGAUGGCAUUGCAUAACCAUGGCCCCACCAAAUUGUGGUUUUCUAAUCCUGCUGUUACUUCUAGUUGCUAGUUAGCAAUCUACUAUAGGUAAGUUCUAUCCUUUCUUGCCAAUUUGUUUAUUUGUAUCUCUACAAAUAGCUGUGUUUUGUGCAAAGAGACGUACUCUGUUAAUAUUUAG